AGGACUGUGUCUUCUCUGUUGUGUGAGGCCCAAGUGGCUCUGGCUCAGAUCUGUCUCCCUGUGACCUGAAGAUGCUAUGAGGUCCAUAGGAAGGAAGUCAGGACUCCCCAGAAGGCAGGAAAUGGAGACAAAUGGGAAGAUGAGAACAGAAAUCCCAGGAGAGAUCUAAGGCACGUUAUAUCUCACUCUGCAAAGAAAGCAUGUAACAAUGAGGACAAUGGAGGGAAGCCAUAUAA